rnacentral:rRNA from 1 species
UACGAAGGGGGCUAGCGUUGUUCGGAAUUACUGGGCGUAAAGCGUGCGCAGGCGGUGAUGUAAGACAGAUGUGAAAUCCCAGGGCUCAACCUUGGAACUGCAUUUGUGACUGCAUCGCUGGAGUGCGGCAGAGGGGGAUGGAAUUCCGCGUGUAGCAGUGAAAUGCGUAGAUAUGCGGAGGAACACCGAUGGCGAAGGCAAUCCCCUGGGCCUGCACUGACGCUCAUGCACGAAAGCGUGGGGAGCAAACAGG